GUUUAAUUAGUUUAACUUAUUAAAAUAAUAAAUUGUGGAUUUAUAGAUGAGUAAUUCAUUAAACA
rnacentral:tRNA from 1 species